GAGUAAUGUCUGGGAAACUGCCUGAUGGAGGGGGAUAACUACUGGAAACGGUGGCUAAUACCGCAUAACGUCGCAAGACCAAAGAGGGGGACCUUCGGGCCUCUUGCCAUCAGAUGUGCCCAGAUGGGAUUAGCUAGUUGGUGAGGUAACGGCUCACCAAGGCGACGAUCCCUAGCUGGUCUGAGAGGAUGACCAGCCACACUGGAACUGAGACACGGUCCAGACUCCUACGGGAGGCAGCAGUGGGGAAUAUUGCACAAUGGGCGCAAGCCUGAUGCAGCCAUGCCGCGUGUAUGAAGAAGGCCUUCGGGUUGUAAAGUACUUUCAGCGGGGAGGAAGGUGUUGUGGUUAAUAACCGCAGCAAUUGACGUUACCCGCAGAAGAAGCACCGGCUAACUCCGUGCCAGCAGCCGCGGUAAUACGGAGGGUGCAAGCGUUAAUCGGAAUUACUGGGCGUAAAGCGCACGCAGGCGGUCUGUCAAGUCGGAUGUGAAAUCCCCGGGCUCAACCUGGGAACUGCAUUCGAAACUGGCAGGCUUGAGUCUUGUAGAGGGGGGUAGAAUUCCAGGUGUAGCGGUGAAAUGCGUAGAGAUCUGGAGGAAUACCGGUGGCGAAGGCGGCCCCCUGGACAAAGACUGACGCUCAGGUGCGAAAGCGUGGGGAGCAAACAGGAUUAGAUACCCUGGUAGUCCACGCCGUAAACGAUGUCUACUUGGAGGUUGUGCCCUUGAGGCGUGGCUUCCGGAGCUAACGCGUUAAGUAGACCGCCUGGGGAGUACGGCCGCAAGGUUAAAACUCAAAUGAAUUGACGGGGGCCCGCACAAGCGGUGGAGCAUGUGGUUUAAUUCGAUGCAACGCGAAGAACCUUACCUGGUCUUGACAUCCACAGAACUUUCCAGAGAUGGAUUGGUGCCUUCGGGAACUGUGAGACAGGUGCUGCAUGGCUGUCGUCAGCUCGUGUUGUGAAAUGUUGGGUUAAGUCCCGCAACGAGCGCAACCCUUAUCCUUUGUUGCCAGCGGUCCGGCCGGGAACUCAAAGGAGACUGCCAGUGAUAAACUGGAGGAAGGUGGGGAUGACGUCAAGUCAUCAUGGCCCUUACGACCAGGGCUACACACGUGCUACAAUGGCGCAUACAAAGAGAAGCGACCUCGCGAGAGCAAGCGGACCUCAUAAAGUGCGUCGUAGUCCGGAUUGGAGUCUGCAACUCGACUCCAUGAAGUCGGAAUCGCUAGUAAUCGUGGAUCAGAAUGCCACGGUGAAUACGUUCCCGGGCCUUGUACACACCGCCCGUCACACCAUGGGAGUGGGUUGCAAAAGAAGUAGGUAGCUUAACCUUCGGGAGGGCGCUUACCACUUUGUGAUUCAUGACUGGGGUGAAGUCGUAACAAGGUAACCGUAGGGGAACCUGCGGUUGGAUCACCUCCUUA
rnacentral:rRNA from 1 species